rnacentral:rRNA from 1 species
UACACAUGCAAGUCGAACGGAAUCCUUUCGAGGAUUUAGUGGCGGACGGGUGAGUAACGCGUGAGAAUCUGCCUUUAGGACGGGAACAACAACUGGAAACGGUUGCUAAAGCCCGAUGUGCCCUUCGGGGUGAAAAUAUUUAUAGCCUGAAGAUGAUCUCGCGUCAGAUUAGCUAGUUGGUUGGGUAAUGGCCGACCAAGGCGACGAUCUGUAACUGGUCUGAGAGGAUGGCCAGUCACACUGGGACUGAGACACGGCCCAGACUCCUACGGGAGGCAGCAGUGGGGAAUUUUCCGCAAUGGGCGAAAGCCUGACGGAGCAAUACCGCGUGAGGGAGGAAGGCUCUUGGGUCGUAAACCUCUUUUAUCAGGGAAGAAGACAGUGACGGUACCUGAUGAAUCAGCAUCGGCUAACUCCGUGCCAGCAGCCGCGGUAAUACGGAGGAUGCAAGCGUUAUCCGGAAUUAUUGGGCGUAAAGCGUCCGCAGGUGGUUUUGAAAGUUUGCUGUCAAAGCGCGGAGCUUAACUUCGUACGGGCAGUGAAAACUACGAGACUAGAGUUUGGUAGGGGUCACGGGAAUUCCCAGUGUAGCGGUGAAAUGCGUAGAGAUUGGGAAG